rnacentral:rRNA from 1 species
GACGAACGCUGGCGGCGCGCUUAACACAUGCAAGUCGAGCGAAGCGGCGGACGGGUGAGUAACACGUGAGUAACCUGCCUUAGACAUUGGGAUAGCCUCGGGAAACCGGGAUUAAUACCAAAUGGUCUAAGAUGGACUCGCGUCCCAUUAGCUAGUUGGUGGGUAACGGCCCACCAAGGCGACGAUGGGUAGCCGGCGUGAGAGGGUGAACGGGGACAUUGGAACUGAGAGACGGUCAAGACGCGACGGGAGGCAGCAGUGGGGAAGAGUGCACAAUGGAGGGAAGUCUGAUGCAGCGACGCCGCGUGAACGAAGAAGGCUUUCGAGUCGUGAAGGUCUUUUAUAUGGGAAGCGGUACCAUAAGAAAAAGCCCCGGCUAACUACGUGCCAGCAGCCGCGGUAAUUC